AUGCUUCAGACAAGCAGUGGAAUCAAGAUGGAGUCUCAGACUCAGGUCUUCAUAUUACUGCUCCUCUGCAUGUCUGGUGCUGAGGGGAACAUUGUGAUGACCCAGUCUCCUGAAUUUAUGUCCACAUCUAUAGGAGACAGGAUCAUCCUAAGCUGCAAGUCCAGUCAGAGUGUGAAUAAGUAUAUAGCUUGGUACCAACAGAAAUCUGGGCAGCCUCCUAAACCACUAAUCUACUAUGUAUCCACUUGGCACACUGGGGUCCCUGAUUGCUUCACAGGCAGUGGAUCUGGCACAGAUUUCACUCUCAGCAUCAGCAGUGUGCAAGCUGAAGACCUGGCAGUUUAUUACUGUCAGCACUAUGACAAUACUCCUCCCACAGUAUUCUUGACAAGGUCCAGUCUGAACAUUGGGCCUGAGCCUUGA